UACGUAGGGGGCUAGCGUUGUCCGGAUUUAUUGGGCGUAAAGAGCGUGUAGGCGGCCAGGUAGGUCUGCUGUGAAAACUCGAGGCUCAACCUCGAGACGUCGGCGGAAACCAUCUGGCUAGAGUCCGGAAGAGGAGAGUGGAAUUCCUGGUGUAGCGGUGAAAUGCGCAGAUAUCAGGAAGAACACCCGUGGCGAAGGCGGCUCUCUGGGGACGGUACUGACGCUGAGACGCGAAAAGCGUGGGGAGCGAACAGG
rnacentral:rRNA from 1 species